rnacentral:lncRNA from 1 species
AGAUUUUCCCAUCUUUUGUCAAGUUCCUGAAGAGCAAGGAUGCCAGUGAUGGUUCAGAGAAGGCACUUCUUGAUGAGCUACAGGCACUAGAUGAGCAUCUGAAAGCUCAUGUAAGUUGCAGAGUUGAACUCUUUAAGUGAUUGAUAUGGCUGUACAUCAAGGGAGUAGACAUAACACAUGCCUUCCAUGGUCAUUUCAGUCGUACCCACAUCCCACUUUUCUCCGCACUUAACCUGUUGGGAUAUGACACAUUGCAAUCAUUUUGGUUUGAUCAAAUGCCUUGUUGUGUCGGCCUUGAUUAGUCUGACCAUCUAAUUUGAUUGAACCGUACCUUUCCUGACGCCACUAUCAACAUUCUGAUGUUUGCAGGGUCCCUACAUCAACGGGGAGAAUGUAUCAGCUGCUGAUCUUAGUCUGGGGCCAAAGCUCUUCCACCUCCAGGUCGCACUGGAGCAUUUCAAGGGCUGGAAGAUCCCGGAGAACCUGACCAGCGUUCAUGCCUACACCCAGGUACGCAAGUGCUCAAUUGAUUGCACUUCACUAUCAGUUCGAUAAAACCUGUCCAGAAUCCAAUAAUCGAGAUCGCGUUUGUCUUUGUGCAGGCUCUUUUCAGCCGCGAAUCUUUUGUGAAGACUAAGCCAACCAAGGAGCACCUGAUUGCAGGAUGGGCACCCAAGGUGAACGCGUAAGCGCCCAUCCCCCCUUGUGCUUUGGUGCUACCUGGUGGACACCAUCUGUUUAUCUGAUCAGUCUC